rnacentral:rRNA from 1 species
GGUGCCGAUAACGCUGAGGAUCCACCCGUUCCCAUCCCGAACACGGAAGUUAAGCUCAGUUGUGCCGAAAAUACUAACUUGGAGACGAGUUGGGAAGAUAGGUAGGUGCCG